rnacentral:misc_RNA from 1 species
GAGCUGGUUUAUAAUUUCAUAAAGCAACACUAACUAGUCUCAAUCAGCAAGAAAGUUUAUUAAAGUUGUUAAAAAAAAAAGUGCAGGUAAUCAAAUGAACAAAAAUACUCUUCUCUAUGGCUUUACUAAUUGCAUAACUUAGUAGUAUGAGAUAAUUCAUCAUUUCUCUGCUUCACUAUGAACCAUUCAGCUCAUAAUCUUUGUUUUUUUUGCCCCUAUUCUUCAAGACUUCAGUGCCUAAUAACUUAGUAGACAUAGCCCUUUACAAACAUUCCUUGUUUAGCUUCAUCGGAUUCACCCUCACCGGUGUACUUUCCGAGCUGAGCAAGAGAGUUCGCUUUGGCCCUGACAAGUAAA